rnacentral:rRNA from 1 species
CCUACGGGCGGCAGCAGUGGGGAAUAUUGCACAAUGGGGGAAACCCUGAUGCAGCGACGCCGCGUGAAGGAAGAAGUAUUUCGGUAUGUAAACUUCUUUUAAGAGGGAAGAGCAGAAGACGGUACCUCUUGAAUAAGCCACGGCUAACUACGUGCCAGCAGCCGCGGUAAUACGUAGGUGGCAAGCGUUGUCCGGAUUUACUGGGUGUAAAGGGCGUGCAGCCGGGAAGACAAGUCAGAUGUGAAAUCCCGCGGCUCAACCGCGGAACUGCAUUUGAAACUGUUUUUCUUGAGUACCGGAGAGGUCAUCGGAAUUCCUUGUGUAGCGGUGAAAUGCGUAGAUAUAAGGAAGAACACCAGUGGCGAAGGCGGAUGACUGGACGGCAACUGACGGUGAGGCGCGAAAGCGUGGGGAGCAAACAGGAUUAGAUACCCUAGUAGUC